ensembl:lncRNA
UAUAUUUGUUUCAAAGUAAAGUAAGUAUUUCAAUUUUGUGUUAGGACGAUGCCAGACAGUCACAUAAAAUUGACUUAUUCUUGCUGUAUUAUGAUUUAAACCUGUGAUUUGAUUGUUUUCUCUAGUGGUUUACAGUCCUGAUAUCUCUUGAGCUGAAUACAGCUUUGUUAUAACAUGCCAAAACUGUCAUAUACUCUUUAGUUCAAUUAAACAUUUGUAUUAGACCACCAACAACUACAGUGAGGAUUACAGGACUAUUCUUGCUGUUUAUUUUUAUAAGGUAUUAAUGUGUCCUCUAAAGCAAUUAUAGACAAAAAUAAAAUCCAGUGUUCUUAAAUGUGUUCUACUGAUGCCAGCCAAAUACUGCAACUAGACUUAUCAAUUACCAAAUACACAAGUGUUGACAGGGCAUACUGUACAUUUUUAUGCAGGGACCAGUGUAUUUCCAUGCUGCACAACCCCUCCACAAUCUCAUUGUGACACGAUGACACACUCAAGCACGCACAGUAAACAAAUUAAGAGUUAAACACGAAUUACUCAGUAGAACACCCACGAUCCCUUUCAAAGAUGCUCCUCUUGAAUUAAUCUCUGCUACAGUUUAAUAAAAAAUAUUUGAAGCUCUUUUGAUGUACGUUGAUUUUGCAGCUGACUUGAUUAUAUCAAUGUUCCCUGUUCUAUUUUUGUAAUAUUCAAUUUUCUAUCAUUCUGUAUUACCUAUUUUGCUGAUGUUUACCCAGAACUGCAGCUUCAAAUAUUGAUGUUUGUUUUUCUCACUAGUACUUCGAUUGCUCUGCCACUGCAUUGUUUUUAUACACCUAUUCUACACAACUCCGUAUGGUCUUGUGGAACUCUCACAGUGGCAGAAAUCACACAUUCACACCUAACGCUUCCCCUUGGCCACGCUGGGGCUGGCACUAAACACAUCUCAGUGAUACCGGUGCUCAUCAGCCACAGAAUUAAAACAGGAGGGUGGAAGGAGGAGGAGUGCAUCUCCAGAGGAACUGCCAGGAAUAAUAGUCAUUUUGCUCUUCUGCAGUCUUCAGUCCAAGGGCAGCUCACCACAGACUCAUAGAUUAAUUUCUGCAAGUAAUAAUUGGAAAUGUUUCCAUUCCCUUGUUCUUUAUUUUUUUUCUUUUUGAGAUAGUCAGAAUCUUUGAUGUGCAUUCACACGUGGAAUGAAACAAUGAAGCAAUAUUCCUCUGAGCUGCCGAGUGUAUUGUUUUGAACCAUCAUCAAAGUACAAAAGUGUUUCUGCAAUAACUUCAUGCCAUAACUUACAAAUGUAGGUUUUAUGCCAUAAAAUAUACAUUUUGAUAGCUUCGGAAGUCUUUGAAAUGCAGUUUAAUAAUGAAAAUUGCUUGAAAAAAAAAUUACCAUUAGAGUUUCACAUUCCAAUCAGAUCUCAAAACUCUUGUUUAAAUUACACUGAAUAUCGGUCUGUCAAAUCUAAUUCAUAUUCAUUUAUCAAAGACCUAAUAUACCGCACUUUUCCAAACCCAGCUAACAGGACAUGUUCUCAGAACUUUGAGAGAACCUUAUCAGAAUGCUAGUUUAUAGAGAGAGAGAAAAAAAAAAACACUUCAGUUGGAUUCUAUUCAAACAUUUUAAACAUUACUAUUUGCUAUAGGUUCAGAAGGUUUAGAGAGCAUUUCAAAGUAACAUGUUCAUAAUGUUUGCAACAUGAUAAAACUGAGGGUUUCCUUGUUUUCGCAGGACAGAAGAAGAAGAAGAAGAAGAAGAAGAAGAAGAAGAAGAAGAAGAAAGUUUCCUAAUUGUUAAAACUGUUAAAAUUGUUAAAAAUUGUUUAGAACUUUCAGAAAUAAUGUUAUCAUGACUAUGGGAACAUCAGCAAAAUGUUCUGAGGACAUAGUUUUGUUAGCUGAAUAGAAAUUGGCAACACAAAGAGCUAUACCUGAAGAAAGUAAUCUGUUAUUAUUCCCAUUUAACUCAAAAGCAGUUAUAGGAACUAGUUAUGUUAAACAAGUACACUAGUUUUGUACCCAUGAGCUAACUAUCCAAACCUAUAGCUACAGUAACACAAGCCUAAUUUACAGUUGUUUCCCACCAACACCUUGCUCUUUAAAUUGAGUCAGGCCAAAGGUAUCCAGUGAGUGAUUGCAUGAGAUUUUGAUGUUUUAUGUGAAUAAACAUUACCCCACUGAUGUAACUGCA